CAAGUCCAUGCAGUGCUUUGAACACGUAAGUUAAAACCUUAAAAUCAAUUCUUUCAAAUCUAACACUUUUU